GAUAGCGUGGUGUAGUGGUUUGGUAUGUGGGAUUAGGAUUCUGGAGCCUAGGGUUCGAGUCCCUGCUCCACCA